rnacentral:rRNA from 1 species
CCUACGGGGGCAGCAGUGAGGAAUAUUGGUCAAUGGGCUUACGCCUGAACCAGCCAAGUCGCGUGAGGGAAGACUGCCCUAUGGGUUGUAAACCUCUUUUGUCAGGGAGCAAUUGGCGCUACGUGUAGCGUUAUCGAGAGUACCUGACGAAAAAGCAUCGGCUAACUCCGUGCCAGCAGCCGCGGUAAUACGGAGGAUGCGAGCGUUAUCCGGAUUUGUUGGGUUUAAAGGGUGCGUAGGCGGAAUGCCAAGUCAGCGGGAAAAUCGCGGGGCUCAACCCCGCUCCGCCGUUGAAACUGGCGUUCUUGAGUGGGCGAGAAGUAUGCGGAAUGCGUGGUGUAGCAGUGAAAUGCAUAGAUAUCACGCAGAACUCCGAUUGCGAAGGCAGCAUACCGGCGCCCAACUGACGCUGAAGCACGAAAGCGUGGGUAUCGAACAGGAUUAGAUACCCCUGUAGUC